rnacentral:tRNA from 1 species
GCUAGGGUGGCACAGUGAUUUGAGUGCUGGACUACAACUCUGGAGAUCAGGGUUCAAUUCCCCACUUGGUCA